rnacentral:lncRNA from 1 species
GGGCACCUCCCUUCCCCCCCCACGCACCCCAGGUGGUGUUUUUUUCUUUUUUUGGUCGUUUUUUUGGUGGUCUUUUUGGGUUUGGUCCUUUUUUUUUUUUUUUUUCCUCCUCUUUUUCCCGUUUUGGACUUGGCUGAGCCCGGUUUUUGGGGGUGGCGGCGCUCCGCCGCCCCGGCUUGGGGUGUUGGAGGUGGCCGUGCAGUGUCCCCACCCUCCCUGCCACCUCCGAGGUGUUCGUGCCCGAUCGCCGCCGUCCCGCGGGGGCUUCGCGCAGCACCUCCGGCGCUCCGGAGGUGUCCGCGCCCCGUCACCACCACCUUGGGGAGGUCCCUCGGGUACCUCCGUUGCCUUCAAGGUGUCUCUGUCCGAUCGCCACCGUCCCCUGGGGGUGUCGCUGAGCACCUCCGUUGACUUAUUGUUUUUUUUGGGAGGUGUCCGUGCCCCGUUGCCGCCACCCCGGGAAGGUCCCAGGGGCACUUCUGUCACCUUCGAGGUGCUCGUGCCCCAUCCCCGCCGCCCCACGGGGUGUCACUUGGCGCCUCCGCCGCUUUGGAGGCGUCUGUGCCCCAUCGCCGCUGCCCCGGGAAGGUCCCUCUGUCACCCCGGAGGUGGCCCCGUCCCUUGGGGGCUCGUGCAGCAUCCCCUAUGCCCCGAGAUGCCCGCUCCCAUAACCCUGUGGCGUCUCUUGUCACCUUAGUGUCCCUUCCGUCACCCCAGCGGUGACCCUGCCGCGUCUCCCUCACCCUUAGGGAGUCCCCGCGGCACCUCUGCCCCCUUGCAGGUGGCCGUGCCCCGUCCCUGCCGUCCCGGGGGGGGACUCAUGCACCGUCUCCCUCCCCCUGGAGAUGUCCCUGCCCCCAUCCCCGUUGCCACGGGGGUCUUGGGGGGGGGUCCUCCUCGCGGCGUCCCCACCCCGGGGUGCCCGCGGUCCACGCUCCGCAUCCCAGCUCCACCGCUGAUGCUGGGGCUCCAGGUGGCACCUCCAGCACCCGUCUGGCACCGGGGGGGCUCCCACCUUGCUUGUCCCCCCCUUCCUCCGACCCCUGCCUCACUGUGAACGGCUCUGUCCCCGCACGGGCCCCCCCCUCGGUGGCCCCCGGCGUC